rnacentral:rRNA from 1 species
AGUGAACGCUGGCGGUAGGCCUAACACAUGCAAGUCGAACGGCAGCACAGUAAGAGCUUGCUCUUACGGGUGGCGAGUGGCGGACGGGUGAGGAAUACAUCGGAAUCUACUUUUUCGUGGGGGAUAACGUAGGGAAACUUACGCUAAUACCGCAUACGACCUACGGGUGAAAGCAGGGGAUCUUCGGACCUUGCGCGAUUGAAUGAGCCGAUGUCGGAUUAGCUAGUUGGCGGGGUAAAGGCCCACCAAGGCGACGAUCCGUAGCUGGUCUGAGAGGAUGAUCAGCCACACUGGAACUGAGACACGGUCCAGACUCCUACUGGAGGCAGCAGUGGGGAAUAUUGGACAAUGGGCGCAAGCCUGAUCCAGCCAUACCGCGUUGGUGAAGAAGGCCUUCGGGUUGUAAAGCCCUUUUGUUGGGAAAGAAAAGCAGCAGGUUAAUACCCCGCUGUUCUGACGGUACCCAAAGAAUAAGCACCGGCUAACUUCGUG